rnacentral:lncRNA from 1 species
AUAUAUUAGAAGUUCGUGUGUAUAUCAGUGUCGACGCCAUCUAAUUAACUAUCGAGAUGACAUCCGUACUCUGCCGAUGGUCACUUAACCUGAUAUAAACAUAAACAUAAAUAGAUCGUCAACCUCGUGCAAUUAGAUUUUUUCUAUGUCUGUUUGAUUUCAUGUUAUCAGAGUUCAUUACUAGUAAUGGACUUGUGAUGUUAUAGGUUAAAAACAAAAGAUAAUUAUCGUUUUUAUCUGUAAAGGCCUGGAAUGUUUUGUUUUUUUUUUUGGAUCGAGUCAGUUAUUGAAAUGGUUCACCUUUGUUUCACUUUAAAUGUUGUUAUUAUUUUC